AAGACUGAAUCGAGGCAAACAUUACAUUGCUCUAAUAUUCAAUUAAGAUGAAGGCCAUCUCUUCACUUCUAUUCAUUGUACUUGUUCUUUCCAUUGGAAUUGAAAAUGGCGGGCCAUUGAAAGGGACAUAUGCAAAGCUUUGUGACAUAAAACUCUAUGAUUAUUGUGAUGACACUUGUACCCCUGAUUGCCUGAAAAAAUAUGGAAAGAAAGUAACAGCUUUGUGCAAUGAAUCGGGUUCGUGCAUAUGUCGUUACCAAUGUUGAGUGUUUCUCCUUCUUCUCCAAUGUUGUUCUUAUGAAUGCUAGAUUAUGUAACGACGACGGCGAAUUCAAAGAAAAUAAAAUUACUUCUAUUUAUCA